ACUCACUCUCAUUUCAUCAUUCCAUAAAACCUUAGAAAAAUCAGUCUUGAGAUAUUUCUUGGCCCAGUCUUGACGUUUCAGCUUGUGUGUCUUGUUCAGUGGUGGUCGUCUUUCAGCCUUUCUUACCUUGGCCAUGUCUCUGAGUAUUGCACACCUUGUGCUUUUGGGCACUCCAGUGAUGUUGCAGCUCUGAAAUAUGGCCAAACUGGUUGCAAGUGGCAUCGUGG